rnacentral:miRNA from 1 species
UAAGUGAAGAAAGAGGUAGGUU